ACGGCCGUCUUAAGGAGUGUGAGUGCACCUUUCUUUCCAUUUAAUCAAGUGCCUCGACUCGCUUCUGCCUCUGACAAAGCAGAAGCCUUUCGCCGAGCCCGGCAACCGAGCCUUAGAGAUGACCAGGCCUAGGGCCAGGGACAAGGCGCUUUGUCAUCCGGCCCUGAGCUUGUGGAGCAGCACUCCUUCGGGUGUAGAAAUGGCCCAGUCCAGCCCGGGUGACAGAACAUCGGCGGCCUUGAGUAAGGGAACAAUUAAAAGAACUUACCAAGCAGUAUGAAAAGUCUGAAAAUGAUCUGAAGGCCCUACAGAGUGUUGGGCAGAUCGUGGGUGAAGUGCUUAAACAGUUAACUGAAGAAAAAUGUGAGUGAUGAAUUAGCUUAUUAAUUAGUAAAGAAACAGUCCACCUCUCUCUCACUUUUGAAAUGCUUAUUAUUUUAAUGACAAUAAUGCAGAGAGAGAGAGUAUUUUUGAAUAGACUUAAGUUUUCCUUCAACUAAUGUCUCCUUGGAGGACAGAAAUACAACUAAACCCUCUGUCAACGUGGGGCUCUGUGGAUGCCGAAAGUUGGCAUUUCUAA
rnacentral:lncRNA from 1 species